ACCGCCUCGAACCAGCUCGUCCCACCUCCUCCUCUUCCUCUCUCGAUCUCCUCUGCCUCGCACGCCGCCACCGCUCGCCCUCGCGCCGCCGCCUCCGUUCGCCCUCCUCUGCCUCGCACACCGCCACCGCUCGCCCUCGCGCCGCCGCCGUCUCCGUUGCCCAACCUGCUGGAUCCCCACCAUCCACUUCUCCGGCGUCGUCGCCUCGUCAUCGCGUGCACGCGGCAGGAGGAGCGAGGGAGACGUGGAGCCGCCGCUAGGAACGCCACCGUCGUCCUCGCGUGCACACGGCAGGAGGAGCGGGGGAGGCGUGGAGCCGCUGCUGGGAACGCCGGAUGCGAUUAUCUGCAGGUCGGUCAGCCCUGCCAGCCUCAUGUACCUAGCACGAGAUGAAAGAGGGAUUUAGAGAAGGGAGGGAGCAGGAGGAGAAGAGGAAGAAGAACCCUACCACCCCCAUGCCCGCCCAGUGCUUCGUGCGGCUCUGCACCCCAACCAUUCCACCUCCAUGCCCCUCCAAUUUCUCUAUCCCUUUUUUGCAGAAUAGGGAUUGAGAAUUGGUCAAUAUACUGAACGGAUACAUUCACUGGAAAGGAGGGGCUGCUGAUGUUGUGGGCUUGAUUGCCUUUUAAUUGUUGAUCCCAAAAUCCUGCCCCGACACGAGCCACCGCCGUUCGUCCGGAGAAGCGCGGGAAGAAGAAGAUGGAUGUGUUGAGACCUUGAUGGGAUGGAGAGACGUUUCCUUUCAAAAAUUACCGCUAGAAAUAGUAGAGAGAAAGCUCAAGCACGGAAACGAGCAGUUAAUUCUAUUUGCCAGGGUUCUGCUGCUGAUAUUAUCAAGGUGGCUAUGCUUAACAGUCAUUCUGUAAUUACCAAUGGGAGUAACACACUUGAUUCUAUGGAUGGGCUAACGCAGAACUUUUAACAAAUCAGAGGGCGUUGUCACCUUUUGCAGGUGCAUGAUGAAUUUGUGCUUGAAGUUGACCCGUCUAGGGUAGCAGAGGCUGUAAGGAAUCCCCGGGCCAUCCAGUGCGUGCCAUCAGUUUGACCCAGGAGCGGCGCGGCAGAGGCGUUGGGCAAGGAGCACUCGCCGGAGGCGCUUGAUGCGGCUCCUCCGUCUAUGUCCAUUGCAGGAGACGAUGAUGUCGUGUUGGGCUCGGACCUUGCUGACCGCCAUCUUGGCCUGCAAGAGGAUGCUCCCCUGCUCCGACUUGCUCAGCACAUGGUUAUUGAAAAUUCUGGUUUCCUGUAACUAUCAGGUGGUCUGAUGCAGGUUCAUGAGGUUAUUGUCAACAGAAGCAGUUCAUAGAUAGGGAUUAGAGGAAGCAACUUAAAAAUGGGGACAAUGUUGUUACUGUUUCUUUUCCUUAUAUUUGCGGGGAUGCCAGGGCUGACUGCCUUGUGCGUACCAUGGCGAGGAGUAGCAAUAUGCAUAUUUGCUCCCUCUAGCGAGCACCACGGAGGAGGUGAGGGGCCAAUAGGGAGUAAAUAAAACAUUUGAUGAGUGCUGCAUGCCCGCGCACGUUGUCGGAGAGGUCAGAUCACUGUAGUUUUGUGGUACCACAAAAAUCGUUUUAUUUUCCUUAAUUGUAACUCUAAAUUAUGUCCAGAUCACCCAUGUCUAUUUUCCUUCAUGGAUAGUGUAUUCUCAUUUUUCAACUAGACAAAUUUUAUCCUUUGAAUUACUGCAAUACAUUAAGUUGGCACGAACAAUUCUAUUUAAAGAUAUACUAUCCGAGGCGUGAAAAAGAAGAUGGCGUAGGUUGAUGGUCUAGCUAUUUUAUAAUCCCUUUUAUUGAGAUCAGAUGAAGUUUAGUCUGGUCUUGCUCUGAAUUUCUCUGCAUUGUUUGGUAUCCAAAUUAGCGUUAGGUUUCAGAUAGCAGAGUAAUUGAUGAGCGGCACACAUGAUCAUAAUGAGCGGCACACAUGAGCACAUACGGUUCUUUGAGCAAACACACACACACACACACACACACACACAAACACAGACAUACAUGAACAAAUGAGAAAUGAGUGAUUCUAACAUGAGAAGAUGAGGGAUGACAUAUGCCUACUCGUCAUGAAGCAUAUCAGCAUGUGGAUUAAUAAUAGAAGGGGAAGGAAACUUGCUUCUCUGCGUUUUUAUUAUAGUUUAAAAGGGCAAAUUGUCGACAUUCUAAAUGUUAGGAAAGGAACCUACAGAGUCCAUGUGUAAGUAUGUGAUUCAGAUUAAUGCUCUGAAAGUAUUUAACUUGCUUACUAAUAAUCCACACUCGUAUGUAUUAAUACUCACACAGAAGUAGACAGGCCAUGGCUAGCAGCAAAUGUAUAUGCCAAUUUAUGAUGUUUUUCACAUGAUAAUAACACUAUCAGCAUGCUAAUUAUAUGUUGUGGAGGCGGCGAGGUACUAGAUCCGCUAUCAUCAUAGUUCCGAUUGUAAAACAGAAUACAUCCAGAGCUGACCGAGAUAGACCAGCAACCAUUACCAUUGACAAUGCCUUUUCAGGUUUUCCCUUGUAUUAAACUGCGGGUUACGCUCGCUAUUGGUUCGGUGUCCAAACAGUUUCAUGUCAGAUUUAGUAGUAUAAUUAGGUGACAGAAGAAAUUAGACAAAGGCCGGUUUGAUCCAUACACAUAUGGACUGACUACGACAACCAAAUCUUUAGAUAGGAAAAAAUAGCUAAACAUGGUUAUAAAGUUUUGGCUGUUUUUUGGACUGAAGAAAUAUGACGUCUGCUGUGUAGCUCUAAAUGCUUACUGUUAUCUUUCCUUGGCAAUGUUUGUGCCUUCUGAGAAUAGAUUUGCUGUCAAGUGACAUCAUGCAACAUGGAUUUAGAACGAAGAGUAAGAUAUGUUUCCGUACAACGACUACUGGAUCGAUAGUACAAAAUAAAUAGCUUGAAUGGAUUUAGUAUUAAGAACAAAAUAUGAUACGGAAAUUCUAAAGCUACCCUUCUUGUGGAUCGAUUGAUAAAUCCAUGUAAUAUUUUGAUAAAGAGUUAAAUCUGCAAGUACUCUAAAUUUGUAUACGUUGUUUGAGUGCCGUUUAAUUAAGAUACUAGACUAUGUUGGUACACAUAUAUUUGGAUGCUUGUGAUUGGCUGGAAAGAACAGAAACCUAGAUUUGUUGUUGGACUGAACUGAGUAGUCAUAGCCUUCUGGCUGAUGCUUCAGUAUACCAAAACACUUGCUAUUUUUCAUGUUCUUGUACGAGAUGGGUUUAGGACACAAACAAUUAUUUGUUUUAUCUACGAAAAACUUUUUCUUCAAGAUUACAGUAUGUUGAAUGCCUUUCGUGCUUAGUUGAAAUAUAAGUACUGCUUGUAUGUGAUUUCAAUCCAGCUUGACCAAUUUUCUUUGCUCUGCUUUUUCCCUCCCUCUCCACUGAAUAUGACCAUGUUCAAAAUAAAAUGUGCAUUACCACUUAUGAGAGUAACCGAUAUUUCAUUUUUGUUGGGACUGUUCUUUCUAGGUGUAUAUUCCUUCUCUGAAUGUUUAUUACCAUGGAACUCGAGUAUCCAGUCUGUAUAGCUGUAUACCUCAUUUUAAGAAAAAAAACUUGAGUGUCCAUUAUACAUGAAUGAGUACAUCUAUAAAGUAAAUUGACCACAAUGAGACAUCCGUUUUGUUUACCUUUGAAUAUAAUGAGCACAUGUUGAAGGUUUUCUCAUCCCACUUUCUCUAUAGCCCGUAUGAGCUUUAGUCGGAGCACUGUGUGUCGAUGAUACAUAUAUUUUCAACUACCUAAGGUCACUUAGUUCUGUGUAAAGUAGAUUGCACUUGGUACAAUUGUUGAUGGAUUGACUUGCUUUCAUUUUUUGAGCCUUAAGCACCUAAUUUAGUUUUGAGUUCUACUCCUCUCAUUUAGACUGCAGGGUAAAUCAUUGCAUUGGAAACUACAAGUGAAAUGGAAGGUAAGAAUCUCAUUUUGGCAUCCACUAUGGAUACAUGUGGAGAUAGAGAAAGGUAGAUUGAUCAAAAGACUUGCAAAAAUCAAAGAGGAGUAGGGAGAGAUCAAUGAGGCUGCUGAAAUCAUGCAAGAAGUUGCUUUAAGUUUGCACGUGCACUAGAAUUAUGG